rnacentral:rRNA from 1 species
UGAUAUUAUCUUACUAUUAGUGUCGUCUAAAUUUGGUGCCAGAAGACUCGGUAAGACCUUAGACGCAAACGUUAAUCGUCAUAAUCAGGCGUAAAGGGUGUGUAGGCGGCUUUAAAAAGAUAUAAUUAAGGAUAUAAUUAUUAUAGCUAACAAAAAUUAUAUUUGAAUAAAAGCUAGAAUCUAAAAGAGGGUAAGCUAAACAACAUAAUUAAUUGGGACUGACAACUUAUAAUAAUGUGGAGUACUAAAGGUUAAAGCUAUUUAUCUACUUAAGAUUGACGCUCAGAAACGAAGGGGAGAAUAAGAAACUUAGAUUAGAGACCUAAUUAUCUCUCUCAGUCAACGAUGAAUGGUAGUUAUUAAAAAAAAUAAAAUUAUAUUAUUAGUAACGAGGUUAACACGAUGACCAUUCCGCCUUGUUAGUAAGACUGCAAAGUUGAAAACAAAAAAAUUAGUCGGUCUUGAAGCAAACGAAGUGAAGCAUGUUAUUUAAUUCGAUAAUCCGC